rnacentral:rRNA from 1 species
UACGUAGGGGGCUAGCGUUGUCCGGAUUUAUUGGGCGUAAAGAGCGUGUAGGCGGCCAGGUAGGUCUGCUGUGAAAACUCGAGGCUCAACCUCGAGACGUCGGCGGAAACCAUCUGGCUAGAGUCCGGAAGAGGAGAGUGGAAUUCCUGGUGUAGCGGUGAAAUGCGUAGAUAUCAGGAGGAACACCGGUGGCGAAGGCGCUCAUCUGGCCCAAUACUGACGCUGAGGCGCGAAAGCUAGGGGAGCAAACGGG